UUACUUUUGCAGUAGAUAUUCUGAAAUUUGAAGGCUACAGAGAUUAACAUGCUUCUUGCACAAUGAUGAUGUGUGAGCUUAUCAAGUUUUUAAUGCUUUU
rnacentral:snRNA from 1 species